rnacentral:tRNA from 1 species
UAUGGCAGAAUAGUGCGGUGGACUUAAACCCCAUAAAUAAAGCUUAACUUUUUUUAGAA